ensembl:lncRNA
CUCACCUUAUUCAGAUGGCUACUCACGGUCACCAUAUCGGCCCACCCUACCAGGCCCGAGCACCUUGUCUAAACUGACACCACCCACCUGUGUGUGGCCUCACCCGGCUUUAUUUUUCUUCUGCGCGUUGAGUGCCAUUUGGUAUGGUGUAUCUCUGCUUCUUUAUUUGUGGUCUGUUCCACCCACACCCAAAAGAAUAUAGGCUCAGUGAGGGCAAGGAUUUCCUGUCAUCCACUGCUGCGUUCCCUGUGCCUAGAACAGUAUCAGAUUCCAUAGCAGGUGCUCUGUAAACAUUUGCCAAAUGAAUGAAUGAAUGAAUGAAUGAAUGAAAACCCUUUGGAAACAUUUUCCUGAGGGUUGUUAGGGUUCGGUGAGAGAACGUAGCUACAGGACCCAGCUUUCUGUCUGACAAACAAAUGCUCAUUUCUCAUCUUCUUUCUCAAUUUCUCCGAAUCUUAGUUUACUCAUGUGUAGCAUGGGAAUACUGAGAACACCACUACUAGUAAUAAUAACAACAACAAUAAUAACACCAGGGCUCCUGACCUCAUGGAGCUACUGCAACGUCCAAAACCAGAAAGCGUUUUGCAAGCUACAAAUAUUGAUGCAGACGUGAGUAACUGUUGCCGCUCUAAGAACACAGGCAAGUGACUCCCUCCUCUCUGAGCCUCCAUUUCCUCAUCUGUAAAGUGGAGCUUGCUUGUUAGCUCCGGACUUCCUGCCUCGCCGAGUUCUUGUACGGAGUGAAUAAAGUAACGCGUGUUUCAAUGCUUUGUAAUAUCAAGUGCUUUGUAAACCAUGAAGCUGGAUGCAGAUGUAAAGAAUUGUCUGGAGCGGGCACGGGAGCAGUGAAGACACUGCAGCCUUGGAAUCCUAAAACCUUUGAGUCCCUCCUCUGACACUUUCUGACCCGGAAAGAAACUCUGGAUCUCGGUCUUGCCAUCUGUAAACGUGGGUAAUAACUGCACACGCCUCACGAUGCACGUUAUAGGCUCGGCGCCUGUCCAGCCUGGAUUGAGAGCUUCGGACCGUCGUCCGGUGGUCUGGACAGCUCCCGGAGGGCCGUCUCCUCACCAGGCCAGCGAGGCUUCCGUCUCCUCUUCAGUUGAAUGGUGAUGAUUACACCAGCCCCUCUGCGAUGCUGCGUCUUUUAAUUAAUAUUUAUAAGGCAGCUGGAGAUGCUCACUUGAAAGGGGUGGGUAAUACACGCUGACUCCAGAGUGAGUCCAGCUGUCUCAGGACCCUACUGGUGGCUUCUCCGGGUGGGUCCCAGGGUCUAAAUCUGGGCCUCAUGUUUGGUGGUCAGAAAGAUGCCAUUUUUCUAGAAAAGCUAAGCUCCACUUCCCCAGCAGAUGCGCCUGAUCGCUCAGCUCUGAGUUGGUCUGAGACACGCUACAGGCCCGGUCCCAGGGCCCCUGGUUGUGUUGUGGAAGAAGUCAGGUGUAGGAGAUAAAGCAGCCAGUGUGGCUCCAGAUUUGCCUUCACGUGUCCUAACUCGGGGCUGCACCUGGGAGGCGGGUUGAGGCCUCCGAGACGGGCUGACGGGGCGGGCCAGGCCAGGCCAGGGGGCUGCUGCUUCAGGACGGAGCCUGCCCAUUGCUCAGGCAGGGAGGGCGUGAGGGGCGAGUGGGAAGGCCAAUGCCACGCCGUCCACUCCAGGGCUUCUCUGAACCCCGGGCUGCGCCAGGCACAGGAGGCUCAAGCGCGUAAUUUGUUACUGAGACUACUGCUGCAUUACCAAAGUCACUGGAUGGACACAAGGUUAGCUGGAAAUCCUCCUUCCACUCGUUUACGUUGCCAUAGGGUUUCUUGGCUGAGAGAGAAGACGAAGUCCUUCACCGCAGGGCAUGGCUGAGCUCAUCUUCGCCGUGAGCUGGGGAGUCUCUGGGCCACUGCGGCUGCCGAGGUGGAGAACAUUCUCGUCAAAGGAAGAGGGGAAGGAAGAAGAAGUGAAUUAGAAAAUCUGAGAAAUGCAGCAAAAUCAAGAUAUUUCCAAAGUGAUCGGGGGAAGAGAAACAGUGCGAUGCUGAAUUUCUCUGGGUGCUUCAUGCCAGAGAGGAGAGAAAUGUGAUCCAGAGGAUGACAAGCGGAAAGCGGCUUGGGGUUUGGAGUCAGAUUCAUCUGGGGUCAGAUUUGACUGGG